GAGUGAAGAAGGCUUUCGGGUCGUAAAACUCUGUUGUUGGAGAAGAAUGGUCGGCAGAGUAACUGUUGCCGGCGUGACGGUAUCCAACCAGAAAGCCACGGCUAACUACGUGCCAGCAGCCGCGGUAAUACGUAGGUGGCAAGCGUUAUCCGGAUUUAUUGGGCGUAAAGCGAGCGCAGGCGGUUUUUUAAGUCUGAUGUGAAAGCCCUCGGCUUAACCGAGGAAGCGCAUCGGAAACUGGGUAACUUGAGUGCAGAAGAGGACAGUGGAACUCCAUGUGUAGCGGUGAAAUGCGUAGAUAUAUGGAAGAACACCAGUGGCGAAGGCGGCUGUCUGGUCUGUAACUGACGCUGAGGCUCGAAAGCAUGGGUAGCGAACAGGAUUAGAUACCCUGGUAGUCCAUGCCGUAAACGAUGAAUGCUAGGUGUUGGAGGGUUUCCGCCCUUCAGUGCCGCAGCUAACGCAUUAAGCAUUCCGCCUGGGGAGUACGACCGCAAGGUUGAAACUCAAAGGAAUUGACGGGGGCCCGCACAAGCGGUGGAGCAUGUGGUUUAAUUCGAAGCAACGCGAAGAACCUUACCAGGUCUUGACAUCUUU
rnacentral:rRNA from 2 species